AUGUUUGUUAGGAAAAAGGAUGCUGCUGCUGGAAUGACUCGUGCACUCUAUAUAUUUGAGGAUUUUGCAAGAAAGGCAGGUGGCAGCAGAAGUUACAGUAUCCCAAAAGCUUGGUGUAUUCAUUUAUUUUAUUUUAUGUUGAAGCUUUCAAAACUAAGACUGAAAAAUGCAUAUGGGAAAAAGUCAGAGGCUAAAAGAUGA
rnacentral:lncRNA from 1 species